rnacentral:rRNA from 1 species
AACGCUGGCGGCGUGCUUAACACAUGCAAGUCGAACGGACUUAAGGGGCUUGCUUCUUAAGUUAGUGGCGCACGGGUGAGUAAUAUAUAGCUAACCUGCCCUUUAGUGGGGGACAACAGUUGGAAACGACUGCUAAUGCCCUAUACUCCUUCUUACUAUAAGGUAAGUUGGGAAAGAUUUAUCGCUAAAGGAUGGGGCUUUAUUGUAUCAGCUAGUUGGUGGGGUAAUGGCCUACCAAGGCUAUGACGCAUACCUGGUCUGAGAGGAUGAUCAGGCACACUGGAACCGAGACACGGUCCAGACUCCUACGGGAGGCAGCAGUGGGGAAUAUUGCACAAUGGAGGAAACUCUGAUGCAGCAACGCCGCGUGGAGGAUGACGCAUUUCGGUGUGUAAACUCCUUUUAUUGGGGAAGAUAAUGACGGUACCUAAUGAAUAAGCACCGGCUAACUCCGUGCCAGCAGCCGCGGUAAUACGGAGGGUGCAAGCGUUACUCGGAAUCACUGGGCGUAAAGGGUGCGUAGGCUGGCUUUUAAGUCAGAUGUGAAAUCCAAUGGCUCAACCAUUGAACUGCAUUUGAAACUGAAAGCCUAGAGUUCAGAAGGGGCAGAUGGAAUUAGUGGUGUAGGGGUAAAAUCCGUAGAUAUCACUAGGAAUAUCAAAAGCGAAGGCGAUCUGCUGGGAUGAUACUGACGCUGAGG